rnacentral:rRNA from 1 species
CAACCUCUUCCCAUUCCGAACAGAGAAGUUAAACGCACUUGUGCCGAUGGUACUGCCCUAACCGGGGUGGGAGAGUAGGUAGCCGCCGCCC